rnacentral:rRNA from 1 species
AACUAACGCUGGCGGCGCGUCUUAAACAUGCAAGUCGAACGGUAGUCCUUGAGCUUGCUUAGGGAUGAGAGUGGCGAACGGGUGAGUAACACGUGGAUAAUCUGCCUCCGGGUUGGGGAUAACUGUCCGAAAGGAUAGCUAAUACCGAAUGAGAUGGUGAUUACAUAAGUAGUAGCCAUUAAAGGUGGGGACCGCAAGGCCUACUGCCUGGAGAUGAGUCCGCGGCUGAUUAGCUUGUUGGUGGGUAACGGCCUACCAAGGCGACGAUCAGUAGCCGGCCUGAGAGGGUGAACGGCCACAUUGGGACUGAGAUACGGCCCAGACUCCUACGGGAGGCAG